ACCCCGGCACUAUAAAUACAGGGCGGGGAGCACCGCUUGGGACUGCUGCGAGCCCAUCGGAACCGAGCCCGUCUGAGCCGAGCGGAACCGAACCGAACCGAACCAUGGAUCCUCAGGAUUGCACCUGUGCUGCUGGUGACUCCUGCUCCUGCGCUGGGUCGUGCAAGUGCAAGAACUGCCGCUGCCGGAGCUGCCGUAAGAGCUGCUGCUCCUGCUGCCCUGCUGGCUGCAACAACUGUGCCAAGGGCUGUGUCUGCAAGGAGCCGGCCAGCAGCAAGUGCAGCUGCUGCCACUGAGCUGCCUACCUUGCCUGUAAAUAGCCACCACGCUUUGGGGACAGGGUGGGGGGUGAUGGGGACUACGAGAAAGCUUAUUUUUACGUGUUUUGUACCUUCCGUACCGAUGGAGGAAAUAAACGAGUUUGGCUGAAGCUGA